AGUUGGUCUCUUUGUUUUUCUACCACCGCCCUAUGAGCGUCAUCGUAAACUUGAUUCAAAGUUGGGGCGAAAAUUCAUAUUCUCCAAAUGGAGAGAAAAGUGGUAAGGUUAACUCAUGUCGUGCCGCGACUUUAAAUUAAGCGCUUGGUGGGAGGCAACCCAUCGUUUUAAUUUUUUUUUAACUCAUUUUGGAUUUUUUUUUUUAUAGAAUAGUUUAUCAUAUUAUUUUUGAUCAUUCUACCAAAUUUCAUAAUUUUUGGAAUUAAUUUAGUGUUAAAGUGGCUUGACAGUGCAAAAUAUACACACAAAAAUUGCUUGCUCACAGUUGGCUAUAAGAAGCCAGCACCUUAUUUUUUGGUUUAGAUGGGGUGUCUUAGUAUUUGGUCCAGAUAAAUGUCUAUGUAAGCCUAAGGUAAAUGUUUACUAUGUUUUUACUAAAGCCUUAGAAUAUUUAAGACAACUCCCAAACCCUUAUUACCACGAGAUACUGCCCUGAGCUUAAAAACUAAAGUCCCUUCCCAGUUUAUUUUCGCACUCCCAGUUCCCCCAAUCCCUCGGCCACUGCACACGCCGCUUCUCACACCACCGGCUACCAGGUUUUAUGUGAUUUAGAAGUGAUCGGAAGAAACCAAGUGAAAAUAAAGUCAAAAAGAGGCCAAAUUGGACAGAUUUGCAAAACUGUCAAAACGGGACAAUUUUGCAAAAAGGGGACAGAUUUGCAAAAACGGGCAGAACUGCAACAACUGAAAUCUGGGGCAUAUUUUGUCAUUUUUUGGACUUGGAAAAAUUAGGCAACUAUAAGAUGAUGACUUGGGAGAAAAUAUCAUCAUCUUUGGCACAACACAAGAAUUUGGAGGCUAGGGUUUCGUCACCAACACCUUGGAAGAGAAGAUUUGGAGGCACCCAAUGAGAAGUUCUUUACCCAUUUCUUCAUCUCUUGCUAUUUAUUGAACAUUUAUGUGUGUAGUAUUUCAUUUCAAUACUUGAAUCUUGUUUAUGAAAAUAUUCUUGAUUAAAGUUUGGAUUGAAUCUCUUGUUUU